GAUGAACGCUGGCGGCGUGCCUAAUACAUGCAAGUCGAACGCACAGCGAAAGGUGCUUGCACCUUUCAAGUGAGUGGCGAACGGGUGAGUAACACGUGGACAACCUGCCUCAAGGCUGGGGAUAACAUUUGGAAACAGAUGCUAAUACCGAAUAAAACUCAGUGUCGCAUGACACAAAGUUAAAAGGCGCUUUGGCGUCACCUAGAGAUGGAUCCGCGGUGCAUUAGUUAGUUGGUGGGGUAAAGGCCUACCAAGACAAUGAUGCAUAGCCGAGUUGAGAGACUGAUCGGCCACAUUGGGACUGCGACACGGCCCAAACUCCUACGGGAGGCUGCAGUAGGAAAUCUUCCACAAUGGGCGAAAGCCUGAUGGAGCAACGCCGCGUGUGUGAUGAAGGCUUUCGGGUCGUAAAGCACUGUUGUAUGGGAAGAACAGCUAGAAUAGGGAAUGAUUUUAGUUUGACGGUACCAUACCAGAAAGGGACGGCUAAAUACGUGCCAGCAGCCGCCGCCG
rnacentral:rRNA from 1 species